AGGGUUUGAUUCUGGCUCAGGAUGAACGCCCGGUGGUGUGCUUAACACAUGCAAGUCGAACGAACCUUUCGGGGUUAGUGGCGGGCGGGUGAGUAACGCGUGAGGAUCUGCCCUUAGGCGGGGGACAACUUUUGGAAGCGGAAGCUAAUACCCCAUAUGUCGAGAGAUGAAACUUUUUGGCCUGAGGAUGAGCCCGCGUCUGAUUAGCUAGUUGGUGGGGUAAAGGCCUACCAAGGGGACGAUCAGUAGCUGUUCUGAGAGGAAUUGAUUCACGCCACCACUGGGAAUGGAAAACACGGGCCCUAGACUCCUACCGGGAGGCAGACAGUGGGGGAAUUUCCCCCAAUGAGCCGGACCCUGACGGAGCCAACGCCCGACUGUGAGGAAGGAAGGUCUGUGGAAUGGAAACCUUCUUUUCUCUAAGGAAAGAAGAUCUGACCGGACUAGAGGAAUCCAGGCAUCGGCUAAACUCCGUCGCCGGCAGCCCCGGUAGGACCGGAGGAUGCAAGAGUUAUCCCGGAAUUAUGGGGCGUAAAGCGUCCCUAGGCGGCUAAUUAACUCAGUUGGUAAAGAAUGCAGCUCAACUGUGGGAGAGCAACUGAAACUGCUUGGGCUAGAGUAUGGUAGGGGUAGAGGGGAUUCCUAGUGUAGCGGUGAAAUGGCGUAGAUAUUAGGAAGAACACCAGUGGCGAAGGCGCUCUACUGGGGCCAUAACUGACGCUGAUGGACGAAAGCUAGGGGAGCGAAAAGGGGUUAGAUACCCCUGUAGUCCUAGCUGUAAACGAUGGAUACUAGGUGUUGUGCGUAUCGACCCGUGCAGUACCGUAGCAAACGCGUUAAGUAUCCCGCCCUGGGGAGUACGCACGCAAGUGUGAAACUCAAAGGAAUUGACGGGGGCCCGCACAAGCGGUGGAGUAUGUGGUUUAAUUCGAUGCAACGCGAAGAACCUUACCGGGACUUGACAUCCCUCGAACUAACCAGAAAUGGCUUGGUGCCUUCGGGAACGAGGAGACAGGUGGUGCAUGGCUGUCGUCAGCUCGUGUCGUGAGAUGUUGGGUUAAGUCCCGCAACGAGCGCAACCCACGUCUUUAGUUGCCAUCAUUAAGUUGGGCACUCUGGAGAGACUGCCGGGGACAACUCGGAGGAAGGUGUGGACGACGUCAAGUCAUCAUGCCCCUUACGUUCUGGGCUACACACGUACUACAAUGCAACGGACAAAGGGCAGCCAGCCAGCGAUGGUGAGCUAUCCCAUAAACCGUUGCUCAGUUCAGAUUGCAGGCUGCAACUCGCCUGCAUGAAGGAGGAAUCGCUAGUAAUCGCAGGUCAGCAUACUGCGGUGAAUACGUUCCCGGGCCUUGUACACACCGCCCGUCUCACCAUGGAAGCUGGCCAUGCCCCAAGUUGCUGCUUGUAAUGAGUGCACCUAAGGUAGGGCUAGUGACUGGGGUGAAGUCGUAACAAGGUAGCC
rnacentral:rRNA from 1 species